rnacentral:tRNA from 1 species
UCGGGUAUGGUGUAGCGGUAACAUCGCUGACUCUCACUCAGCAGCUCGGGGCUCGACUCCCCGUACUCGAA